rnacentral:rRNA from 1 species
CACGUAGGGCGCGAGCGUUGUCCGGAAUUAUUGGGCGUAAAGAGCUCGUAGGCGGCCUGUUGCAUCCGCUGUGAAAGCCCGGGGCUUAACCCCGGGUCUGCAGUGGAUACGGGCAGGCUAGAGGUAGGUAGGGGAGAAUGGAAUUCCCGGUGUAGCGGUGAAAUGCGCAGAUAUCGGGAGGAACACCGGUGGCGAAGGCGGUUCUCUGGGCCUUACCUGACGCUGAGGAGCGAAAGCGUGGGGAGCGAACAGG